rnacentral:rRNA from 1 species
GACUACUGGUGGCAGCAGUGGGGAAUAUUGGGCAAUGGGCGCAAGCCUGACCCAGCAACGCCGCGUGAAGGAAGAAGGCUUUCGGGUUGUAAACUUCUUUUAUCAGGGACGAAGCAAGUGACGGUACCUGAUGCAUAAGCCACGGCUAACUACGUGCCAGCAGCCGCGGUAAUACGUAGGUGGCAAGCGUUAUCCGGAUUUACUGGGUGUAAAGGGCGUGUAGGCGGGAGUGCAAGUCAGAUGUGAAAACUAUGGGCUCAACCCAUAGCCUGCAUUUGAAACUGUACUUCUUGAGUGCUGGAGAGGCGAUCGGAAGUCCGUGUGUAGCGGUGAAAUGAGUAGAUAUACGGAGGAACACCAGUGGCGAAGGCGGAUUGCUGGACAUUAACUGACGCUGAGGCACGAAGGCCAGGGGAGCGAAAGGGAUUAGAUACCCGUGUAGUC